GACGUAGGGCGCGAGCGUUGUCCGGAUUUAUUGGGCGUAAAGAGCUCGUAGGCGGCUUGUCGCGUCGUCCGUGAAAACCUGCAGCUCAACUGCAGGCUUGCGGUCGAUACGGGCAGGCUAGAGUUCGGUAGGGGAGACUGGAAUUCCUGGUGUAGCGGUGAAAUGCGCAGAUAUCAGGAGGAGCACCGGUGGCGAAGGCGGGUCUCUGGGCCGAUACUGACGCUGAGGAGCGAAAGCGUGGGGAGCGAACAGG
rnacentral:rRNA from 1 species